rnacentral:rRNA from 1 species
UACGGGGGGGGCAAGCGUUGUUCGGAAUUACUGGGCGUAAAGGGCUCGUAGGCGGCCGACUAAGUCAGACGUGAAAUCCCCAGGCUCAACCUGGGAACUGCGUCUGAUACUGGAUGGCUUGAAUUCGGGAGAGGGAUGCAGAAUUCCAGGUGUAGCGGUGAAAUGCGUAGAUAUCUGGAGGAAUACCGGUGGCGAAGGCGGCAUCCUGGACCGACAUUGACGCUGAGGAGCGAAAGCUAGGGGAGCAAACGGG